UUAGCUAUGGGAGUAAAUUUGCCUGCUCACCUAGUAGUUAUAAAAUCUACAAUGCAUUAUGCUGGAGGACUGUUUGAAGAGUACAGUGAAACAGAUAUUCUACAGAUGAUUGGUAGAGCUGGUCGACCUCAAGUUUUGCAUCUGGAUUGAACAAAGAUGGAAUUGAAGCAAAAUUACAAGAAUUAUGUUUGAAGAAUCUGAAUGAUUUAUCAUCCCUGGACUUAAUAAAGAUGGAUGAAGGUGUUAAUUUCAAACCAACUGAAGCAGGAAGAUUGAUGGCUUGGUAUUAUAUUACAUUUGAGACAGUGAAGAAAUUUUAUACAAUCAGUGGAAAAGAAACCUUAUCAGAUCUGGUUACAUUGAUAGCUGGCUGCAAGGAAUUUCUAGAUAUACAGUUAAGGAUAAAUGAAAAGAAAACACUGAAUACUUUGAACAAAGAUCCAAAUCGGAUAACUAUCAGAUUUCCAAUGGAAGGAAGAAUUAAAACAAGAGAAAUGAAAGUAAAUUGUCUUAUUCAGGCUCAACUAGGAUGCAUUCCCAUACAAGAUUUUGCUUUGACACAAGAUACCGCAAAGAUUUUCAGACAUGGCUCCCGAAUUACAAGAUGGUUGUCAGAUUUUGUAGCUGCUCAAGAAAAGAAGUUUGCUGUACUAUUGAAUAGUUUGAUUUUAGCUAAAUGUUUUAGGUGUAAACUUUGGGAAAACUCUCUGCAUGUAUCCAAACAACUGGAAAAAAUUGGUAUAACAUUGUCAAAUGCAAUCGUAAAUGCUGGUUUGACUUCCUUUAAAAAAAUAGAAGAGACAGAUGCAAGGGAACUUGAAUUGAUUUUAAACAGACAUCCCCCCUUUGGAACCCAGAUAAAAGAAACUGUGAUGUAUCUACCAAAAUAUGAACUUAAAGUGGAACAGAUUACAAGAUAUAGUGAUACGACGGCAGAAAUAUUAGUGACUGUUAUAUUAAGAAAUUUUGAACAGCUACAAACUAAAAGAACAGCAUCGGAUUCUCACUAUGUUACCUUAAUCAUAGGUGACGCAGAUAAUCAAGUAGUUUAUCUGCACAAGAUUACGGAUUCUGUUUUGCUAAAAGCUGGAAGUUGGGCUAAAAAGAUUGCUGUGAAAAGAGCUCUUAAAUCUGAAGAUCUUAGCAUAAAUCUAAUAAGUUCUGAAUUUGUUGGGCUUGAUAUUCAGCAGAAACUUACAGUCUUUUACUUAGAACCCAAGAGGUUUGGAAAUCAAAUCACUAUGCAAAGAAAAUCUGAAACACAGAUUUCCCAUUCUAAACAUUCAGACAUAUCUACAAUAGCAGGACCUAAUAAAGGAACGACUGCCAGCAAAAAACCUGGGAACCGAGAAUGCAAUCAUCUUUGUAAAAGUAAACAUACAUGUGGACAUGACUGCUGUAAAAUUGGAGUUGCACAGAAGUCAGAAAUUAAAGAGUCAACAAUUUCUUCAUAUUUAUCUGAUUUAAGAAACAGGAAUGCUGUUUCAUCUGUUCCUCCAGUUAAACGUCUGAAGAUACAGAUGAAUAAAUCUCAAAGUGUGGACCUUAAAGAGUUUGGUUUUACUCCAAAACCUUCCCUUCCUAGUAUAUCAAGGUCAGAAUAUUUAAACAUAUCUGAAUUGCCUAUAAUGGAGCAGUGGGAUCAGCCUGAAAUCUAUGGAAAAGUUAGACAAGAACCAUCUGAAUAUCAAGACAAAGAAGUUUUGAAUGUGAACUUUGAAUUGGGAAAUGAAGUUUGGGAUGAUUUUGAUGAUGAAAACUUAGAAGUUACUAGCUUUUCAACUGAUACUGAGAAGACAAAAAUAUCAGUUUUGUUUCAUCACAUGAGAUGUCGGAUAUUUCUUUAUCAAAUUCUGCUAUGCCCAAGUUCAGUGCAUCCUCCAUGACAAAAUUACCUCAACAAGCCGGAAAUGCAGUUAUUGUCCAUUUUCAAGAAAGAAAACCACAAAAUCUGUCACCAGAGAUUGAGAAGCAAUGCUUUACUUUCUCUGAAAAAAACCCAAAUUCUUCAAAUUAUAAAAAAGUGGAUUUUUUUAUUAGAAACAGUGAAUGUAAAAAGGAAGUUGAUUUCAGUAUGUAUCAUCCUGAUGAUGAAGCUGAUGAAAUGAAGUCUUUAUUGGGAAUAUUUGAUGGUAUUUUCUAAAACAAACAAAUACUUUUUAUAUUGAUAAGAGAAAGAAUAAAGACACCUAAUCACAAAGCAUGCUUUUUAUUUUUAAAAAGUAGUUCAUAAUUGUUCGGAUUUUUUUCUCCUGUAUUUGAUUAGCUUUGUUCACUUUUUGCAACAAAAUGUAUGGGCCGAUUUAUUUUCCCAUUAUAUUGUAACUUCUUGAAAAGCUCUUUUACAGUGGCUUUGUUUCAAUAAGCCCUUAAGUUAAGGGCUGAUUGCACUUAGAAAUAAGUUGCACUUAGAAAUAAUUAUUUGGCUAUUAAUUGGAUUUUGACAAGAACCAAUGUAAAAUUUCAUUUUUAUAUUUUCUUAACAAGAAGAAAAAUAUUCUAUGAAAGCAAAGUAAUGCUAACUUAAUGAAUCUGCUUAUUGUAUGGAUUAAUCACUAAUAUUAUUCCCAUGUAUUUUGUUUUACUAAAGAUUUUUAAGAAUCCAGUGGCUAUUUGAACCUACUGUUAUCUAACUUUGAGCAACAAUAAAUGAAACAUUAAUCAGUA
rnacentral:lncRNA from 1 species